rnacentral:lncRNA from 1 species
GCCGCUGAGCUUGGACCCCGACCAGAAGAUAGAGAUUGAAACGAUGAGGAAAACGAAGUGCCUAAUCCCCGCUGGACGCUAACUGCAGGGCAAGCUCCCCAGUGUUGUAGUUGUGUUUCGGAGGCCGAGAACCGCUAUCGGGCUUCCUCGGACUCUGGCCCUGGAGGGGGGAAACGGCGAGGGAGAAGGCGAAACGAGUCUCCAGUGUGUUCUUGGGGCCUGGUGCGAGGCCCAGAGAAUUCUCUGCAGGCCUUUGCCCGGGCACUGAUUAAGGCUGCGAAGAGACGCACCGGGCUGCGGGCUUAGUAGCUUCAGGCUUCUGAAGUCAGAGGGAGGGCUGAGAGCUUACACUUCUGGAGCUCCCCGGGAGACGGCAACUACCCAACCGUGUGGGUGUGUUUGUGAACAUGGAGGAGACAUAUUUCCACCUAUUUCUCUCCAUAAGUAUAAAAGACCAUAAAAGACCAUCUAGGGACUUCAGAACCCAAAUAAUGACACAAUGUUAAUUUGCAGGUUCUCCCUCUGCCUGCCACCCCACCCAGCAAGGAGGAGAGGAAGUGUUGAGAAGGGAA